rnacentral:lncRNA from 1 species
UGCAGUAAGCCAACAUCCACAUGUAAAAAUCACUAUAUAAACUGGGAAUUAGGUUUAGAAACUUCUGACCCAAAAACAAGUAUAAAAUCCUGAAUCUUUCAGCAUAGGUAUUUUAACUGUGCCUCUUGGACAAUUACAGCGAGUCUUGCAAGAGUGAAAGCAAAACCUAAAAGGUUAUCAUCAUCCGGAAUAGGUAUAUAGACUGGUAAAGCAGACUGAUCAUUCUCUACACACUAUAUAUUCUUAAGUCUACAUUAAUUAACUGUUAGAGUCUUCAAUAUAAAUUGAUAUCAAGUGUAAUAUAAUAACCAAUAGUUUAAUUGUAUGAGAUGCCUUGAAAGUAAUGUAAUAAUUAUUCAUAAUGGUAAGUCCAAUGUCGAUUGGUUGCAAGAGUGAAAGCAAAACCUAAAAGGUUAUCAUCAUCCGGAAUAGGUAUAUAGACUGGUAAAGCAGACUGAUCAUUCUCUACACACUAUAUAUUCUUAAGUCUACAUUAAUUAACUGUUAGAGUCUUCAAUAUAAAUUGAUAUCAAGUGUAAUAUAAUAACCAAUAGUUUAAUUGUAUGAGAUGCCUUGAAAGUAAUGUAAUAAUUAUUCAUAAUGGUAAGUCCAAUGUCGAUUGUGUUAACUAUGACUCUAUGACACCACUGAAACAUAGAAGGUUGCCUUUCGAUCUUCCGAUUACUUUUCAACAAGUUAAAGGACUAAACCUGGAUAAUUGGUACAUAAAAUGACAAGGAUCAGAUAUUGGUUUACCA